CUGUCUCUGCUGUCUCAGGGCUAUACAGAGAAACCCUGUCUCAAAAAAGAAAGAAAGAAAGAAAGAAAGAAAGAAAGAAAGAAAGAAAGAAAGUAAGUUCUUCCCAUUUUCUCCCCUAACAUGUCCUCCUCCUCUUCUUUAUAAAACUACUGAAUCCAGUUAGUGUUUUCCACAUGUACAUGAGUGUAAGGCUAUCCACUGGACCAUUGGCCACCUACUACUUGCCAUAUCCCUGAAGAGAAAUGAUUUCCCCCUCUCCUAGAAGCCAUCAGCUAAAGGUGGGUCCUCAUGAGGUCUAAUCCUCAUCCAUACUGCAGUGUAGACUGGCCUAACUUUAUGUAGAUCUUGUGCAGAUAACCACAACUUCUGUGAAUUCAUGGAUGCAAUGUCUGUGCCAUAUCUAGAGGACAUUUCAUGUACUUUUCCUCAUCCUCUGGGUCUUGAUUCUCUUCAUCUCCAUUUCUUCAGGGUUUCCCUGAGCCUUAGGAUGUUGAUCCAUGUGUACCAUUUAUAGUCGAGCACUCAAUAGAGCUUAUUCUCAGCACUUUGAUCAAUUUUAAGCCUCUGCACUAAUUGCUGCACAUUGUAAACUGAAGCUCCUCUAGCCAAGAUUAAAUGUUAUGGGUGUAAACAUAGUUAGAAAAUAGUUACAACCUUCUAUUUAGUAGAACGGCCAGCAGUGAUAGCUUCCAAACCUGGGACUGUGAUUUCCCUCAUUGUAAGUUUUGACCACAUUUACAGUGCUGUGCAUGGAUUACCUUCUAAGGAGUAAACCUCAGGACCAAUCAGAAUGCACUUGGUUACCUCUCCAACAGCCAUGCCACUAUUGCACUAGUAGCUGGCAUAGCACUUCUAGCACCAGAAAAACUAGUAAUGAAGAAAUCGUCCAGGUCAGUUCUACCAUGAUUUCUCUAUGUUCUGUAACAAAAAGGUAUUAUCUUCAGCAAUAAGGUUCCACCAACCUGGUUAUAGUGGGCAACCAAUAGCAAUGGUAAUCGUUUGUGUUGUUGUAGGGGCCUCUGGGCUUCCCUCACCAAUAACUCAUAGGGACACACUUCAGAACUGGUCCUGAGAUUUUCAUUUUAUUAACAUGUCUUCUUGGAGAAGUUUUGUCCACCCAUGUAAGGCACCUCCAUUCCAAAUCCUUUUUAAUUAUAUUUUUAAAUUAGCUUGCAAAGUAGUGGUCAUACUCUUCAGAUUUGAUUAAUUCAUCUAUUUCCCCCCCCUCCACACACACACAUCUUAAUCACCUUACCACCAGUCCUUCUAAAACUUUUAAACCCAAGGAUUUCUUCCUUCUACUUUCAUAUGGUAUGCAUUUACUAUUCUCCUUACCACUUCUCAUUGAUCCUUUCUAGCUUCUUAACUAGACUUUUCAAAAAGCUUGUGUAUAUAUAUAUGGGUAUAUGCAUAUAUUCAUGGUCUCGUACAGUGUAUGUGGAUACCAGAGGUUAACAUUAGGUAUUUUCUUCUAUUUCUACUUUAUUUGCUGAGAUAGAAUCCCUAUUGAAACUGGAUUUUGUCAAUCUAACUAGGCUAUCUAACAAGUUAACUACAACGAUCCUCCUGUCUCCACCUCACCAGCAUUACGAUUACUGGCAUGUAUUAUAACAUCCAGUGUUUAUGUGGGUGCUGGUUAUACCAAUUCAAUAACUAAUGCCUGGGCAGAAAGCAUAUUACUGAUUGGGCCAUUCUUCAGUUAAUUUUUUAGAUAUUUAAAAAAAAUUAGAGAGAUUGUCUUCUUAUUUAAGACUAAAAUAUUAGAACUAAGAUAAUGUGAAGUUCCAAAGCCCUGCUUUGAAAAAUCAUAGUUUGGUGAUUGCUUUGCCCCCGUUUUUCCUAGCAUUCUGUUCUAGAAAGGGUAUUAAAGCUCUUGUCAUCGCUCUCAGGCUACUAAUUUAAUUUUUUAUAUAAAAAAAGCCUAUUUUUUUCUUUUAGAUACAGAAUCCUGUUUCUUCCAGGGCUGCUUGUGUGUGUUCAGCUAGUUCUUUGUCUCUUAUUUUUAUUUCGGAUCUUCUCCAAGACCUGAUGAUCCUGGGUUGACUUCACUUUUAUGAAUGGAGACCUGACUUCAUUAAUACUGGUAGCUGUCACAUUUUUCUGAUUCAGCCAUGUGCUUUUCUCCAAAGUGGGAGGGUUUAGGGUUGGCCCUGGGUAGAGCUUGGGGCAUGGGACUUGGCAAAUAUCCCUGCAGGGUGCAGAGUGGGUGGGGAGUCAGCCGGCCUGCUGGAUUUCCUCCAAAUUGUGAAGGCAAGAAAGAUCUGGCUUUGUUUUCCGGGCCCUAGUGUCAUUCACAGCAGAGCUGUUCUUGGUCCGUACUGCUCUUAGCACUUGUGGUUUGCCUCUCUCUGUACACUCUGGACCCCCCCCUGAUAUGCCAUCACCCUGGUAAAGCCCCCGCUUUGCACUGUCCCUGUCUUGCUGAAGACAUGGGCUUGCUUAUUACGAGCCCUACUGUCCUAACUGGGAUUUCCAACCUACAUGCUGCUGAGCUGCUCAUGGCUCUGCAGCUUUCCAGGUCUGUGCUUCUCUCGUACCUUGGGAACAGCUCUGGCCAGUGUUAGGGGCCUCCUCCCUGUGUGCUCCUCAGCUCAAAGUUCCUCUGUAGGCUCUGGCCUUCCUGUGUUCUCUGCCCUGUAGGCAGUUUAGAAAACAUAUGGUCUCCUUCUGGCACUUUUCAUUGUAUUCUGGAAUUCUUUAAUUUCACAGGGAAACGAGUGUCUGCCAUGAGUCGAUAUGAAAGCCUGGGUAGGAGGAGUCACUAAAGUGCUUGGUUGCCCAGUUCUUUCUGUGGUGGCUUGCUUCCCUUUGUGGGCUUCUCUGGGUCUGCUCACUGUUUCAUUGGGUUGAGGGUGUGCACUGGACAUGAGGAAUCUCUGAAGUCGGGUUGGUUUCCAGUGGGGGCCUCCAGCUCCCAAAAGCAUCCUCUACCCAUGUCUUCUGGAUGUUUAGAUUGGUGUCUUUCCUUCAUGCCGUUUCUUCACCUUGAAAGUUUGGUGCUGGGUAUGUUUCUGUGCCUAUUUUCAAGGGUCUAUCACCUAGUGCAUUUCCUCAGCUGUGUAACAUUUUCUUGUCACCUGGUGGCAAACGCAGGAGCUCAACUUCAGGUGACUGGAUGGGGCAGAGCCUUUACUUAACCGUCUUACUGGUGGAGGGGUCUGCUGCCUGCCCCCUUCAGAACUUGCUGUCAGUAAGCUGCUCUGGGCCUGACUUCCCACCCUUUCCCCUGUGGCAGUCUGAGCCAGCCCGAGGUAGGGAUGAGGCCUCCAGCCUCUGGCUAAUUACUUGGCCAGUCUUCUUCCAGCUCGUCUAGGCUGUGCUGCACUGAUAAUGGGAUUAUUCUUAGCUGCUGCUGGGGAGACUUUGCAGCUGACACAGGCUCCGUCUAGUUCUUCAGAUUUACCAUCAUGAUUCCUUUCAGUCUCAGAGUUUUCCAGAAAUCCACUCAGCUAUUCCAUAAGUACUUAUUGUGCAUGGCAGUGUGCUGGGUAUUAGGAAAUACAGGUUAAAAAAGAAAAGAGCGACUACCCAUGGAGGGGAGGAAACAAGCUUUAAAACAGUUAACUCAUAUACUCCAACCACAGGUUCUGUGAGGCACAGAAAAUGUCACCCUAGGGUUAUCAUGGAAAUCAGCCUGGAGCAAGUGAUAACUGACCAAAUUAGAAAGGAAGAGAAAGAAUGACCUAAUGAUGAAGACUCGGGAGAACUUAUAGAAGGAGCAGGACACACCUGCUGGUAUUGAUCCUCAUAGUUAUUUACUCUUACUGUGGAUUUGUUUUCAUUUUGAGUGUCUUCAAUAUAAAGGAACUUGAGAAGGAGAAAAAUGGACCAUCCUGAACCAGGAAACCUUAACAAAUAGUGACUUGAAGGACAAUGUAAACCAUAGGAAAUACAUGAAAACGCUCGAAGCCUGACAUAUCAUGGGACUGGGGAUGUGAUUCAAUUGGGAAAGUGUUUGCCUAGAGCAGUGGUUCUCAACUUCCCUAAUGCCAACCAUUUAAUUCAGCUCCUCAUGUUGUGGUGACCCCCAACCAUAAAUUUAUUUUGUUGCCACUUUAUAACUGAAAUUUUGCUACUGCUGUGAAUCAUAACGUAAAUAUUUGUAUUUUCUGACGGUCUUGUGUGACCUCUGUGAAAAGUGUCAUUUGACACCUCCUCCCACCCCUAAACCGAUUCAUGAUGACCCACAUGUUGAGAACUGCUGGCUAGCAUGUAUGAGUUAGGGUUAGAGAGAAGGUUAAGAGUACCUGACAUUAAGUGAACGAAAAGGAGCAUCCAUAGAUGAAGUCCUUUGGAAGAGUUUGAGAUGAGGGGAGUGGAGGACAGGGAGUGAUGUGUGGGCACAGAGCCUUGAUUCAGUCAGUUCAAUGGUACUGACUUUUACUCCUAGGUAGAAAUUAAUUUUAAAAGCUAAGCUGACAGAUUUGAAUGCUGCCUACAGCUAUGACUUGUUCACAGAGCAGCUAAAACAAUACCUUUUCUUAUCUCUAACAUGAGGAAUUUAUAAUGAGCAGUGUGAUGACUAUCUUGGUCAGAUCAAACACUGAAGCAUCUCCCUUGUGUUCCUUAUACAGUAUGAACAGAAAGAGCCCACAGGAAGGCAUUGCUACCACAUCUUCAAGGCGAUAAGACUCAAAUCACCACACUAGUUAGAGCUGACACUAGGAUUCACCCUGCAUCUCUGACUCCAGAGUGGCAGAGUUCGAUUCAGCCAUAGAAAACUGAGGGUUUUAUAGGUGAAAAGUAAUUAACAGUUUUAUUUGGUCCACCCUAAUAUGUAUCUCCGCUAAAUCGCUAACAAUGUCAGUGUUCCACCUGCUAACUUUGCCAGGUCUGGUCCCAGGCUUGUCAUUCCUGUGUUCUACCGUAAUUUUUGAAAAAUGCCUGCAGUCUUAGUUACACUGAGCUUAAAAACUGUCCUGCUUAGGUGAAUACUUGAGUAACACAGCUUAGUUUACUUUAAAAGGAUGUGUUUUGGUUAUGACAUUACUUUUCCCUGACUAUGCUGACACAAUUAUAUUUGGGGAAAGCUGCUAGGUAUAUCGGUAAAGCAUAUAGAAGGAUACACAUAUUGCAAAUCUCAUUUCUCACAAUAUAAUUAAAAAAAAAAAACUUUCUGCCUAGUGUGUGCUCCAUCGAGAGUGGUCUCCCAAGGGAGUGCUGCGGGCUGCUUCAGCUCAGCACUUUUCCUUCUGACUGUGUUUGUUGACCUCUGAUCAGCUUCAUUCUCCCAGCUAUGCAGCAUGUACAUGGGUAAGGGCAAGAACGCCCUCCCAAACCCAUGCUUUAUUUCCAAAUGCAAGUACCUGCAGACAUCAGCCAGUAUUAAUUAGGUGUAAAUCACACUGAGCGUGCAAGCAUCAGCAAGCCAUGAGAUGUAAGAAUGAAAUAGUGAAGCCUAUUAUUUUGUAUACUAACUGAAAAUAAUAAAGAAAAAUGCAGUCAUACCAUGUAACUUUGCUAAUGAAAUACUGUUGUUACAUCAUCGCAUUCUUAAAAAUUAUGAACUUAGAAAAAGGGUGAUUUUUUUUUUUAACUUUGGCAAAUAUGUUUUCAAUGAAGGUAAGAUCUGGGCUGGGGAGAGAGAGAUGGCUCAGCCAUUAAAAGCUAGGCUCACAACCAAAAUGAAGAUAAGAUCUUUAGUGUGGUAUUAGGCAAUUUGCAGUUUUUUUGAGGGGUGUCAUGGAGGUCAGAACUCAGGCUUCUUUGGCUUCAGUAUAAUCAGUUAACAUUGUGUGUACAUUUGGCAUACUUAGUAUCUGCUUUAAAAAAAAAGAUGAGUCUGAUUGUAAUGUUUCUCAUGUUGAGGACCUGAUCUUAAACACGGUGGUCUUGUUGUUUUCGUGUAACUUUUAGUUCAGGUACAAUAAUUCUUUUAAAAGGCAUGGGCAAUUAAUUAUGUGACCGCAAAAAAUAAUUUCGCCUAAGUUAAUUGCACAAAUUAUUGUAGCCCUAAAAGGUUAAUGACUGUCAAACAUCUUUGAUGCAUAGAGCCCAUUAAAUGCCACUGUCAUCUGAAUAAUGUAAAUGAGUACACCCGUCCUUCCUGGACAAAUGAGUUUCAUUCAAAGGACAACAGUAAACAGGGCCUUGCUGUGUAUUAGAGGAAGAUGUUCAGGCUCUUCUGAAGAGAACUCAAAUAAUUCAGUCCGAGGGGUCAUAAUUGAGUAUUGCAUUUUGAAAUAUAAGCCAUCAAAACCUCUUAGAUUUCAAAAGGUAAAUAGAAAUUUUAGGUUACUAAUUAUUCUCACUUCUUAGGGCUACUGAAUCACUGAGGUUUGUGAAUAAAUUAAUAUUUUUAUAGGGACUUUGCUUAGGCUUUAAAGAAUUGGGUACAGCUAAUAAGCAGGGGACUUUUUUUUUUUAAACUGGAUAUUAUCCCAAGAGCUGAGGAGAGCCCUGGAGAUUUCUGAAAUAGAAAUUCUUUUACAGCUGUAGAGAGAAUAAAGUUUUUAAUAUUAAUUUUGAGUUUGUUAACUCCUAAAGCUUCAAUUUAUUAUAUAAUUCUUAAAACUUAUCUUUAUAACCUUACUAUUACUCUUUGUGCAUGAUAUAUAGUCUAAAGGUCUUUUGUGUGUAUGUAUGAGUGUAUGUGUUUGUGUAUGUGUGUGGAAUGAAUCUGUGAGUAAGAGCAUGCAUGUGUGAGUGAGUGUAGACUUGAGAACUACCUUGAAUAUCACUCCCUAAGACCGCCACCUUUCUUGAGGGAGAAUGUCUCAUUAUUCUGGGGCUCCUCCUUGGUCAGGGUUUCUCAUUGGCUCCAGGGAUUCACCUCCUGUGUGAGCCCAGCUUUUUAAAACAUGAUAUUUGGAGAUCAAAGUCAGCUCUUUAUGCUUGUAUAGCAUAUUCUUUGCCAGCUGAGCUGUCUUCCCAGCCAUUGGACCCAUUUUUAUUUUCAGCAACAAUGUAUCCUGAAAGAUUUCAAAACCCCUAAUUCCUUUAAGAGAUGCUUUGCCAAAAAAGGAUUUUUUGGUUCAAGAAAGUUUGGAAAGACUGCUUGCCAUAUCCUUUUCUUAGAAAAGUCAUGGUAUAUAUUUAUGUAUUAAAAGAUUUGUGAAAUUCUGGGACAAACAAAUAACUGUACCACCAUCCAAAAAAUGUUUUAUAAGUUUAUCUGGUGACAGAAAUGCUCACUCUUGUUUUGUACAACAGUUUUGAACAUCUUAAGACUCCAAUGACUUCAUGUUCUGUGUAAAUGCUUUUGGAUAACCCUCUAUAUUAGUGGAUCUUGUUCUCCAACAUUCCAGUGUGGCAGCUAGGCUUAUUUGCUACAGAUGUUUCUGUAUAUGCAUAUAAACACAGCUGUGUGGAUAAGUGCACACAUUGUGAGCUUAUGAAACUUAUGCAGGCUUACACACGUGAGUGUUUGCUUUUUAAUUUUUACUUUGAUACCUACAAUCUAUAGCAGACAGUGGAAUCGGAAAAUAUGAUCAAAUCAGUGAAUGAGAAAAACAAUACCAUCAUACAUGCCUUCUCUAUUACUCCCUUCAAGAUGCACGCCACCUGCUGUCCUUGAUGACUGACCCAUAGUCCCAGCAUCUUUGACAUGCUGGGAUCUCCACUGUAACCGGGCUGCACCUUCACCGAGAGCAUGGCCUGCUUUCUUAAAUAGUGUCAAGCCUCAGUUACUCUCCGUUACCCCUUCAUGUCUUCAAAACAGGUACCACUAGGGAGACUCAAACACAUGGUCAGAUCAGGCUGCCAUGGCUUCUGUGUGCUGACCCUGAGGAAAGACUCUCGUUGACUGAACUUCAGUGAUGCUGAUCUCUUCUUAAUUACAGCUGUGUUCUCAUUCCUAGCAAACCAGUGUCCGUUGCCCCAGUAAAGCAAAGGAGCAAAGGUUGACUUUACUGAUGCUGAUUCCUCAGCUCCGGCUGACCAGCAUCAUUGAGACUCAGUCUUCUGAGAGUCUUUCCUCAGGGUCAGCACAGAGCAGGCCAAGACUGUGUCGCAGGCUAGUGACCAUCACGGGCAUCGGCAGAUAGAGAGUGGAGCUGAUAUGAGCUUAUGAGACAACUGACAUUUACAUGAGGUAAGCUGUGCUGUAGAUGGCAGAUCCAGAGACGUGGAGCUGCCCAACCCUUUGGAGCCCAGAAAAUCAUGAGUCCUAGACAUCAGACGCUGAACCAUUCACAUACACUAUUGUAGUUUUGCUUUGCUUUGAUGUGAUUGUAAUUGUGCCCUGGUUCCUCCAUCUUGGAAUAAGAAAUAUUUAACAUGUUUUUUAAAAAUUUAUUUUUGUGAAAAACUUUAAAAAAUACAUUGAAUUAUUAAAGAGAGAAUGCACUUUUAAAUAAUGGAAUAUAUUUUUUUAAGAUUGUGGGACUUCCAAAGUUACUUGUGUUUUUGUUGUUGUUGUUGUUUUUGUUUUUAUUGUGGUGUUCAUAUUCGCAUGAGAUUUUGGGAAUAAAUGAGAAAGAAAAGAAUAGUAAUAUCUUUAUGUGCUGAAUUGGCAAGGAGUCAAUUGUGUUGAUUAGUGUUUUUGUUCAUUACAUAUAAGAUAGAGUCAUAUGGGAAGAGGAAGGCUCAGUUGGGGAAUUGCCUCCAUCAGAUUGACCCAGAGGCAAGUUUGCUGGGGCAUUUUUUUUAAUAUACAUGAUUGAUAUGUGAGAGGCCUGCUCACUCUGGGCAUUGCCACCUUGGGCAGGUGACCAUAGGUAUAUAAAUGCGGACUGAGCAAGCUCUGGAGAGAAGCUAGUAACAUUUCUUCAUGGCUCCUGUUUCAGUUCCUGCCUCCAGGUUCCUGCCUUGAGUUCCUGCCCUGGCUUCCCUAGGAGUUUGUAACCUAGGAGUUAUAAAAUGAAAUCAACCCUUUUCUUGCCAAGAUGGUCUUGGUCAGACUUUUAUCACAGCAUUAGAAAUCUAAUUAGGAUACACUCUAAACCAUGAACAGAAAAAUAUGUUUUAUUUAUUAUUAUCGAAUAAUAAUGAAUGACUGUUUCUGUUGUUUACACAUGUCUAGCCUUUUCUAAGUGAACUCCUUAAGGGCAGCUUUAUGCUCACACCUCAGAUCUUUUGUAAAGAUUGGCCACUCUGUCUAGAAUGGUUUUCUACACAUAGUGCCAUACUUACUCCUUUGUGCUCUCAUAGCCCACCCACCUUAUGUGUAGAAACUGACUGGGUGCUGAGUAUCCCCUUGUAUCUUCAGUCCUUUACAGUGGAGAUUAUUAAGGUUUCAAUAGUAAUUUUGAAACUUAACAAAUUUUGCAACAAGUUUUUACUUUUUCUAUCCACUAGUUUAGAACUAAUGAAGCUACCAGAUACAUAGGUUACUCAGUAAUACUUCAAGAAUUUCAGUAAUAAAAUUUUUAUCACAAUACAUUUUUUCUUUUUUAAAUUUUUAAAAAUUUAUUUAUUUUUAAUUUAUUUUAUUAGAUAUUUUAUUUACAUUUCAAAUAUUAUCCCCUUUCCUAGUUUCCCCUCUGAAAACUCCCUAUUCCCUCCCCUCUACCCCAGCUCACUAACCUACCUACUCCCUCUUCCUGGCCCUGGAAUUCCCCUAUACUAGGGCAUAGAACCUUCACAGGACCAAGGGCCUCUCCUCCCAUUGAUGACCGACUAGGCUAUUCUCUGCUACAUAUGCAACUAGAGCCAUGAGUCUCUCCCUGUGUUUUCUUUGAUUGGUGGUUUAGUCCCAGGGAGCUCUGGGGGUACUGGUUGGUUCAUAUGGUUUUUCCUCCUAUGGGGCUGCAAACCCCUUCAGCUCCUUGGGUACUUUCUCUCGCUCCUUCAUUGGGGACCCUAUGCUCCAUCCAAUGGAUGACUGUGAGCAUCCACUUCUGUAUUUGCCAGGCACUGGCAGAGCCUCUCAAUAGACAGUUAUAUCAGCCUCCUGUCAGCAAGCUCUGAAACACUUUGCAUCUCAUAUGAAGGAAGCUGCAUUUUAAGAAAAUUAUGUUUUUGUCAGCUAGAAUAUGCCUCAGCUUUGUUAGCUUUUAGAGUUAAGUAACUUUAUGAGAACAAUCCAGAGCUAAACAGAGGUGUGCAGAGUUUUCUGUUUCUUCUUAGGUUGUUCCUAAUGUUUAGUUGUUUUUCAUGUUCAGUGCUGAAAAGUGUUCCCCCUUCUCAGGAAGUUAGGUGACUUUCCAUAAGUAUUUCCCCUCUACAGCUGUACCUAUUCUAUCUGUGGACUGUUUCCAAGGAUGCUCUGUGUCGUUAAGGAGAAUCCUGUUUAGAUCUCUUCUUGGUCCAGUUCCAAAAGGCAGGAGUGCUACUGGACCCUGUGGUUGUCCUGGGAGGCCUUCUGCUAGUCCCAAAUGAUACCAUCAUGUUUUAUGGGGAUGGGUGUUGAGCCCCCUUGACACUGUGGUCCAAGAAUAGACAAUAUGUCUUAACUGGGACAAGGUGUGGUGUUUAAAAAAUGCUUAGAGAGAGCAUGUGUCGUGACUUCAGACAUUCUGACUUGGGAGUCCCAGCAUGCCUUCCUCAGUUAGUUACCUAGCACUAACAGUGUACUUUGCAUUGAGUGCCAUGUCUUGUGGGCUGACACGUUAUUUGGAGAGGUGACCCCCUCUCGGCACAUGCCUUCUUUUCUAGGCUAAAUCUACCCCAAGCCAGGGUCUACCAUGCUUGAUUUCAGGCUGUCCAUGUUUUCAGUCUGAGAACCUUUGUUUGGGUCAUGAGUGUGGGUAGCAUAAGCCACUGACCACAGUGCCCCUACCCUGCCUUUCCUCAGUUAACGCCUAGAACUCCUCAUCUCCUCAGUGUAUGCACACAGCUCAGAGGAGAGCUUCCCCCCAUUUCCCAUCCUCCCUGAGCCCACCUUCAUGGUGAUUAUUUCUUUUCUGAAGCUUUGUCUCCUUUUUGGCACCUGGCACAGGACUCUACCCACUGCUUCCUAGUUGGAUUUUAAUAGAAUCUAGCAUCUCCCAGCAUCACAGAAGAGCCCUGUAUGCCAGCCACUGUGGAGUUCUGAAACCUAUAGUCAGAUCUCCAUGUUUUGAAGAUCAAUGCCCAUUUUUUAUCUCAUUUUCAUGUUUGCUGAAGUGUGUCAUUGCCGGAGAGGUGUGGAGAUGGGUGGCGGUGAUUAUACGUGACACGGAUGGAGUCACUUUCAUGCAUCUAUGCUGAAAAUGCUUCAAAUGGUGGUGUUAAUGUUUGUCACAAUUAAAAAGCUGAAAAUUGUAUUGCUUAAUGAAAUACUUGAUGAAGUUUAAGCAGCUUUUAGCAUAUGCCUGCAUCGUUCCAGCCAUCUUACAUAGUAGAGUUCACUUUAUCUCUCCAAUAAUGUUAUGAAGUUAUUAGCAUUGCAGUAAACUAUUUACACACGAAGAACCCAUGCUACACAGGCAGAAAGCAUAUAACACUUUCAGUAUCACCUGAACACCAUAUGGGACAGCUGCUGGGACAGGUAAACUUGAUUGUCGAAAAAUUCUAAAAAAGAUUGUUUUUAAAGCCUCUCUAAAUUGUGUGUGUGUGUGUGUGCCAAGUAUGUACAUGUACCAGAAAAGGGUGUAUCUGGAGUUACAGGCAGUAGUGACCUGCUUCGUGUGGGUGCUGGGAGCUGAAUAAACUCAGGACUUCUGCAAGAGCAGUAUGUGCUUUUGUCUACUCAAGCCAUCUUGCCAGCACCAAGGGAAUGACAUCUUAAAUGAAAGCCAUAGGACAAGAAAGUAGAUACCUGAAAGAAUUAGGGCAAGAAGAGAAUUCUAAGUGGCUGUGGAAGGGUGGGUAGCCAUCCACUCCAGAACCUGCUGUAACCCCUGACACCUGUGUGCAUGCUGCCCUCACUGAGAAGAGGGCUGCAGAUUGUCUCUGCAGGAUCAUGGCAUGUGAAGGCCACCCUGGAUCAUCUGGAUGGACUUUAAGUGCAGUGCAUGAGUCUCUAAAAGAGAAAUCAGCAAGAGACAACUUUGGCUGAAAAGGGAAGUUGAGGAAAGCUGUCAGAGGAACUGCUGCAGCUCUGCCUUUGAAGACAGCUGCAGCAGGAGGCCUUGGGCCAAGGAAUCCAGGGAGUGCCACUCUGGCAGCAUCUGGAUACAGCCUCUUGACACUAAUGUUUUGGACCUUUGGCCUCCAGUACAGGAGCAAAAUGGAUUUCUCUUGUGUUAAGGCAUACUCUCUCAGUAAUUUGUAUUAGUGGCAAUAAGAAAAGAAUGUGGUCCCUGGAAGUGGGAGGCACUUUUUAAGGAUAACAGAUCCCUAAAAAUGUGUAGAUAUAGUCAUUUGUAAAAGCUAGGGUAACUGUGAGGUUGAUAUUGCGGUAACCAGGUAGCCUUAAGCAGAUUGCUGGUAGGCUAUAGAUAUUAAAGGCUCUUUAUGGGCUCAGAGGGAAAGAGUGACUUGUCACUGGAAAGCGUAGGAACAUGGACCUAUUAGGUAGAGGUAGAAAGCUUACCCGAGUUUCCUGUACGUUGGAUGGAAAGCAGAGUUUGUGACCUGUGCACUUGCAUAUUUACACAAGAUUUCCAAGGAAGGUACAGGUGCCACAUUCAUUCUUUUUGCUGCUUUUGGUGAAAUAGAGAAGAAAUGAUAACAAUUCUAUAGAUUGCAGCUUCAGGUUGAUGUAUCUGAAUGUAGCUGCGUCCUUUCUGCCAGUUUGCCCCAGAUGACUACCUAGUGGAGAAUAAUGUUUCCUCAUAUGGUCAGAUAAUAUGACAUAUAUUAGAAUUGAAGAUUCCUCAUUAACCUUUAAAUAUUUACCACUAUGACUUCAUCAUCCAAACCAUAGAUAAGUAUUGUGAGGUUUGUCACGGUACUCAGAAGGCACAGGCAGGCAUAUCUCUGUGAGUUGGAGGCCAGCCUGGUCUACAUAGUGUACACUAGCCAGGGCUCUAAGUGAGAGCCCAUUUCAACAAAAUAAAACACCACAAUAACAUUUUUCAAAAGAAUUGUGUAUUCUCUUCUUUCCCAGACUUUAUUUGGAAGUAUCUCCUCUGUGUGGGGCUCAAGAGCAUCUCCUCCUGCCCCGUCAAAGGUUGUGGCUACCCAAGGCUCAUGAACACAGCUGUACUUGGAUGUAGGGUCUGUGAAGACAGUCUCAAGUUGAGAUGAAGUCAUGCAAGAUUAGAAUAGGCUCCGAGCAAUGACUGGAGUCCUUCCAGAUGAGGCAGGUUAUGCCUCACAGACACAUAGGGAGCGUGGCUUGUGAAAAUGGAGCCAACUGGAAUGACAGUGCCAAAAGCCAUAGGAUUCCAGCGGUUGUCUGCAUCCGCCAGGGAGGUGGUGUCUUGAUCUUGGCCUUCUCUCUUCUAGAUCUAGCAGAGAAUAUCCUUUGCCAAUAGCUUCGUGAUUUGUGGCAUUUUUAGAGCAACCACAUGGUCCUAAUACAUCUCUUGACAAGCAGAAAUUAAAUAAAGCACUCUAAUGGUUUAAAAACCUAAAUAAAAGACUUCUCUUCUAUAAAGUCUAGGUCUGCUCUGACUGUUUUUCAGGACUAGAGUUCUGCAAGUUUCACUGAGGAAUCGUAGCUCUUUAAGCAAUUCCCCAACCUUUUGUACCAGGUCAGGCUUAGAAUGGAGUUAAAAGGGCUUGGAUAUUGAAUCAGAUUUAAUAUCACACUGAGAAAGGACAAGGAAGACCUGGAAGGAAGGUUGUAUAGAGUGGCCUGUGUCUUCUGCAGUUUACUGCCUUUGUGUAAUACUUGCCCUGGGCUGGCAGGGAAAGAAAAGGGUGACGCUGUGCAAGCUAACUCUUUAGGACAUCUGCCUAUAUAUCAUUCUUUUCCUCUGAUCUGUCAGCCACACAUAGCCCUGCUUCAUUGUUGGGGCUGAGGACAGCACCAUAAGGCCAAACUACUUUUUCUAGAAAUGCUAGUAGUAGAGAUGCCUCCUUUAGAAUAGACUCAUCCCUGAAAAUUUUGCUUUUAAUUAAAGCUGUAAGUGAAAUUAUAUAUAUAUGUAUAUGUAUAUGUUAUGAUUUGCUUUUCAGUAGUCAAAUAAAAUAUUUCUUUUUUUGGUUGAAGAUUCAUUUUUAUUGAUUAUUUUAUUUAUUUACAUGUCAAAUGUUAUUCCCCUUCCUAGUCUCCCCUCAACAAACUCCCUAUCUCAUCCCCCUUUUCCUCUAAUAGGGUACUCCCUCACCCACCCACUCCUGCCUUACCACCCACUCACUCCCACCUCACCCCUCUAGCAUCCCCCUACACUGGGGCAACAAGCGUCCACAAGACCAAGCACCUCCCCUCCCAUUGAUGCCAGAUAAGGCAGUACUCUGCUACAUAUGUACCUGGAGCCAUGGACCUAUCCAUGUAUAUUCUUUGGUUGCUGGUUUAGUCCCUGGGACCUCUGAGGGGUCUGGUAAGUUGAUAUUGUUAUUCUUCCUAUGGAGUUGAAGUCCCCUUCAGCUCUUUCAGUCCUUCCCUCAAUCUUCCACUGGGGUCCCUGGGCUCAGUCCAAUGGUUGUCUGUGAGUGUCUGCAUCUGUCUUAGAUGCUGCAAGCACUUCUUGGCAUCAGCAAUAGUUUUGGGGUUUGGUGUCUGUGAAUGGGGUAGAUCCCAAGGUGGGGCAGUUUCUGGAUGGCCUGUCCUUCAGUCUCUGUUCCAAGUUUUGUCCCUGUGUUUCCUUUAGACAGGAACAAUUCUGGGUUAAAAAUUUUGAGAUGUGUGAGUGGCCCCAUCCCUCAACUGGGGGCCAUUCCUAUCUACUGGAGGUGGGCUCUUCAGGUUCUGUCUCUCCUCUGUUGGGUAUUUCAAUUAAUGUCAUUCCCAUUGGGUCCUGGGAACAUCUGUCAUUCCUGGCGUCUGAUCUAGUGGACAAUCCCCCAUUCUCUGAACCCCACUGCUGAAUAUUUCUAUUUAUUCUUCUGGCCCUCUGAACUUCUCUCCUGUCUCUUCCCAUAUUUGAUCCUGCCCUUUUUUCUCUCUCCCUCCCCUCUUCCACCCAGGUCCCUCCCUCUCUCUACCUCCCAUGAUUAUUUUGUUCCCCCCUCUAAGUGGGAUUGAAGCAUUCAUACUAUUCUAUCUAGUCAGCUUGGUCCAGGGAUCCCUUGACUCUGCUUUCGGCAUGCAGGGAUUACAGACAAGCCACUGUAGCAAACCACAUUUACAUGAGUGCUGGGGAUCCAAACUCUGAGCCUCAUGCUGGUGUAGUGAGCACUUUACCAGCUGAGCCAUCUCCCUGGUCCCAAGUAAUAUCUUUUAUCACAUAAUCACCAAGCAGAAUCUAUAUGGUAAAUGAGGUUAAAUUUAAUCACAAACAUGCAAGGCCUUUCCUGAAAUGACUGGAGCCCAGAAAGAGCACCAACAUACAUUUAUGAUGGAAUGUGCCAACAUUACAAAGAUGGCCUUGUCUUAACAUUAACUCACAAGGCUAGUUCCAGUCAGUAGCUAGACAAUGAAAACAUUUGCAUUAUGCUCAUCUUGAAACUCUAAAUAGCCAAGCAGAACAAUGCAGUGAGCCCUUGCAUUACAGCAGCUUUGAGGAUCAUCAUUGUUUGCAGUUCUAGGGUAUUAGUGUUUUGUUUGUUUUAUUUUGUUUUCUUGUUAUCCGGAUACUCCCAAGGCAGGCCCAGCAUUCCCAAAGCCUUCUUACCUAUGAUUUCUUUGCCUUGCACCCCUAACUGUUAGGUUUUGUUUCCAAUAUGAUUCUUGUUCCAUUCUGAUGAAUGAAACUCAGAGCAGACCUUAAUAUCAUCUAAUUUCCUAUCUGUAUUCAGAGUUCAGCAGUUGUUUCUGAAGGUGGUUUUUAAAGGUUGGCUUACUUUAAGGCAGUUUCAAUCUAGGUCCCUGCAUUGCAUCUGACUCUAUACAUUUAUGUAGUAGUAUUUAUCCUGGAUGGAGACCUUGCUCCCUUCCUGACUUCAUGGAGGGGAUGGCUAGGGUUUGUGCUGUCUUUACAUCCUGGUUUGUGGGAAGCUUUACUUGUGGUUUUAGUAUGCACUACUGAUUUUCCAGAACCACACUUCCUUCAUAGUCACCAGACUGCAUGUCUUACCUAGCUCAUUCCUUAUGCUUAGCUGGAAUGCUUUACAGACCUUGCCUGGGAGCUGUAUGGUUACCUUUAAAUACUCUGUCCUGGAAGGGCGGGAUGAGCGCACUUUUUUUUUUUUUUUUUUUGUUCCUUUACCAAUUUCCAGAGUAAUGAACUGAUGCCUGCUUGGCUAUCUACAGCUGAAUUACAAAUUAUCCCAAGACACCGGGGCAUGAAGCGGCAGCUGCUUUAUUAACUGUCAUGAUUUGAUAGGUCAGGAAUUUUGGAGGGCGUGACUGGGCAGUUUGCUUAUGUAGCAGGAUUUAGCAGAGGGUGAGCGGGUCUUGGAAGGGCAAGAUAGCUUUCUUCACGUGGGAAUAGUUAGAGAAGGACAUGAGGGAGGGCCCUCCGUCAGCGAGCCCAUCCAUGCCCUCUCCAGCACGUUCUCACAGCGGAAUCCCCUGGGAGCAUAUUACUCCUUAAUCCACUGAACCUCCUGGGAUGUGGCCUUGACAUCUUAGACUAUCAUUUCGAUUGUGUUCUUUUGGCCACUGAAGUCACUAAGUUUGGCUUGAUUUAAGGUGAGACACAAGGAAGGAUUGUCACAUCUUUCAUUUAAGUUGAACUUGUCACCUUUUGGUUGACUGUAUGAGCACAUUAAAAAACAAAACAGAAAACACCCCCUUACUUUCAUUGUGGCAUUUUUCAAUAUACCUGGCAUAAGAUUGUUAUUUUAAACAUUAUUAUUCUUUGGCUGGUGUUUACCAGUGUCUGCUUCUAAGUGUUCUGAACACGGCUGCUGACUUCAUCUGAGGCGCUUCCUCAUCCCUUCUCCCAGACGCUGGGGGCGUCAAGCUCCCUUUCUGUAUUUAUUCAUCUUCCUGUUCUAGAAGCUUCAAAUAAGUGGGACAAUGCAGCUUACUUCAUUUUGUAUGUGAUGUAUUUCCUUUGGCACACAUUGACAGCAUGUACCAUAAAUUCAUGCUUUGGGGAGUGGUGUCAUUUUUGUGUAUUGAGACAGGGCCUUUUAAAUACUCUGGGCUGUGUUUGAACUUCUGUGAUCCUCCUGCCUCAGCCUCUCGGGUGGUGAGACUUGGUGUGUACCAUCAUGCCUAUCUCUGUUUCCUUUUUAAACUGGAUAAAAUUAAAAUGUGUGUACGUGUCACCUUUCCUGCAGUGAACACUGGUUUACAGGCGCCAUUUUUGAAUCUGUUAUAGUUCUUUCAACUUUAUACCCAGGAGUAGAACCGUGCCGUCGUGUGGUCACAGUGUCCCGCUUUAUGAAGACGGCUAACACAUUUUCAGUAGUGAGCACACCAUUGUCCCUACCUAGGUUGUACUCAGAUUGCAAUUCAUACACAUCCUUGCCAACAUUUGUUUUUGUUUUCAUACACAAGAGCCAUGUUAGCAGAGAGGCAUCUCUGCAGACAGGGAUGCUCACUGCAGUUGUGGUUUGAGUAAAAAAGUUGGAAAACAACUGGACUAUUUAUCAUGAGAGAGCAUAUACCUAAGGCAAACACACAGCAGUUAAAUCUAACAGGCUUGUUGGCCAUCUAGCCUCUAGGUUUAGGUCUGUAAGUAAAAGUUGUCUGGAGAGGAUAUAAAUCCACAGAACAGCUCGCACAUCCUUGUUGUGGCACCGUUGCCUAGAUUGUCCUAUUACUUUGAAAAACCACCUUGAUACACAAAAUUGAAAUUUCAUUUAAAUUGCCAUUCAGAGCUUAUAGUUACAUAACUGUGAGAAGCCAUUAUUGUCUAUGCUGGGAACGUUGAUGAUAUUCAUGCAGGCUCCAUUCCGUGCAGCAAAACUCUCAGAAACAAACAGAAUGGCCAGUAGGAAGGGAAUAGAUGAAUCAAUGACACAUUUGUGCCAUGGAAUAUGACAUAGCGAGCACAUGGGGGAUGUAGCUCCUUACUAAGGCUUUAAAAACAAUUUAAUAGAGAGAGGUGUGCUUUACAUAUCAUGAGGUUCAUCUAUUGCAAGCACACAGUUGACUUGUAUGACCACCACUCUAAAGGUUUGAAAACAGUUAAAUUCACUCCUAUCUAUCAAUGAGUCCUCCUAUAGAUAACUGUUUCUGUCUUCGAGAACCCCUAAGUACCUACUGUUCUACCUUCCUCUUCCUAUAAACUCACCUUUCAGUGGUUUUUUUAGAAAUGGUAGCAUAUGGUGUGCCGGUCUCUUGAAUCUAGCUCAUUUCAUCAUGAAUAUGGUUUUUAAACUUUUUUUCUGCAACCAGAUCAUGUGUCAGCAAUCUGUAUCUCUUUAUUUUAUUACCGAAGAGUGUUUUGCUGUGUAGAUAAAACAAAUCUCUCUCUCUCCAUUCAACAGUUGAUGCAUAUUUUGUUUUAUUUGUCAAGUUUUAGUUAUUAUAGAUUGGGCUGCUUUAAAUCUUUAUGUGGUGAAUCUCUCUCUGUAUGUGGAAAAAAAUAUUUAAUUAUCCCAAAAAUAGACAGACUUGCUGGAUCACGUGGUCGCUUUGUAUUUACACAUUUGAGAAACUGAGAAACCGUAGUCCAACCUGGUCUGUACUUCCAUUUCUGCUAUCAGUGUGUGGAGGGUUCUGCUGUUUCAGUCUUUCAAGCUCAUGGUACUAUCUGCCUUGAGUGUCCUAGUGUAUGACAUCUUUUCCUGCAACUGUCACCUGUUCUCAAUCCCUGCUUUGGUGAAAUAUCUUCAUAUUUUGGUUCAUCCCCUGCCAUGGCAGUUUUUCUGCAUGUAGUUACUUAUAUGAUGCGGACCAUGUGAGCAUGCUCUCUCAGUCUGUUCUUUGCUUCAUGGUGUCAUAAAUGAAAAUAUACAUUUUGAUAAGGUUUAAUUUAUCAAUACAUUUUCUUCCAUAGUCUGGGCCUUUAGUAUUCUGUGUAAAAAAUGAUUAGCCUCAAUUAGAUAGUGAAGGCUUCUGAGCCAGUGGUCUUUCUGAGUUAGUAUCCAUGCACGUUGUUUGGAGGGAGGGCAUCUCAGAUCAUCUUUUUGAUGUCUAUUUCCUGGUUUUAUCUGUUAAGACAUCUCCUUUCUUCUGGUGAAUCAUCUUGGCACCUUCUUUAAAAUAACCGUUCUACCUUAAAUGUAUGGCUUUUUUCUAGAUUCUUAUUCUUUAAUGACUUCUCUUUUUGUGAGUACUAACCUGACUUGAUUGUUGGAUCAUGAUAGAAAUUUCAAAACUGAAAGUCCUCCACAUAGACUUAAUUAUUCUAAAUGUUUCACACUCCCAUACACAAUUGAAGACCUGCUUGUCAAUUUCUUAAAAGAAUUUUCUUGAAUUUUAAUAGGAAUGGUUUUGAACCUAUAGAUCAAUUUUGGGAGAAUGAACACCUAAAUAAUAUUGGGCUGUUAUGACCUUUGUAUGUUGGAUACUUUAUCAUUUUUCAAAGUCUUUAACUUCCUUCUACAGACAUUUGUAAAUUUUAGGGUGAAAAUCUUUCAAUUCAAUUAAAUUUAUUUGUAUAUACACCACUAGUGUGAAUGGAAUUGUACUAUAAUUUCACUCAUCUUUUAUUGUCAUACAGAGAAACACAGCUGGUCAAACAUUUUAUUACAUUUAUUCAUUUGUGUGUAUUAAUUUGUAUAUGUUGUCAUCCCAACCUGUCAGAGGAUAGUAUGUAGGAACCACUUCUUCCCACCGUGUUGUCCAGGGAAUUGAACUCGGGCCAUAUGUCUUUUCCCCUCUGAGGCACCUCACCAGCCUCUGCAUUUGAUACUUUCAGAUGAUUUCAUGAUGGGCUGCCAUCAUGAAAGAGGUGUCAGAACUGUGUUCAUUUCCUUCUCUUCUUAGCCUGUGUAAUCUCAGUUGAUGUCCUGUUGAGUUUGCUGGUUCUUCUGCCACUUGGUCUGUGAGUUGUUCCCUAGUGCAAGCAUUUCCUUGAUUGUUUUACUUUCCAACUUUAGAGUUUGUUUGCUUUCUUUUAAUAAUGUCUACUGCUUUUACAAUUUUUCCCCUGUGAGAUAGUAUUCUCACACUUUAGUUUUUUAGACAGCACUGCACAUAUUUGUGAUCAUUGCCUUAACGCUUUUGUCUUACAUCCUUUAUCUGGGCUUCCUCGGGGACAACGUCCAUCCUCUGCUUCUUCCUGCACUUAGACAAUGCUCUGUGUCUUUGCAUGUCUCAUUGUUUGUUGGAAAUUUUAGAUGACUCACUGUAUAGAUUUGGAGACUCCACACCUUUGCAGGGUGUCUUCUGUUACUGUGGUAACUGUGUGUGUUACUGUCGUGAGUGACUUGUGUAUCCUGUACUUCUCUGAUGAAGUCACCUCUCUGUACUGUGUGUGGCCUCUGAAGUUUCUUUCUUGGUUUGUUUAUUAGCAAGUAAAUGAGCAGACAAAGACUUGUGAAAUCGAUUUUACCAAUAAAUGUCUCAGUCAUCUGGGGGGCUGUGUGUUUGUGCUGGCCAUUCCUCUGUCAGAUAGAUUAGGAAUCUGCUUUAGUCUUUACUCUCUGGUUCUAUGGGACUUAAGGUCAUCAGCAACUGAGAGGUUAGGGGACUCCCAGAUCUCCCUGGUCAUUCACAUAACCUCACAGUAGUGCAUGGAGUUCUAAUGUCCCUUGUAGACAUUUAAUUUCAUGAACCUUCCUUUUAAGUUUUUGACCUGACUCUUGUUUGCCCAGCUGGUAUGGCACACUUAAUAGCUGUGAUGUUAAUCAAUUGUAGCUGAUUGUUUUUGACAAAAGCCCCAGAGACUGGGCUUUUUCUGCUGAGUAAGCUCUCCUGGACAUCAAAUAAUGUUAAUGCUCUGUGAAUUGGGCUUUCCCACGGAGCUGGAGGGUCAAAGAGCUACAGUGUUGGAGUUGGUGCUUUUUUUUUGCAGAGUUCUGAGCCUGGCGUGUUUUCCCUGUGGCUCCAGGAUGGAGCAUUCUGUGUAUGCUGUGGCUGAGAAGCGGCUACCACAGAGCUUCAGAGAAUGGAUGCCCUAGGUCAAGUGAAAAUGCCAUAAACCAAGCUGCCAACAGAGCAUCAGCGUUUUUUCCUUGACUAAUGCCGUAGGUUGUUGUUUCUCUUUGGUUAAUUUCUAGAACUUUGAAAAUUCUGUGUUUGAAGACUGUCGCUGCAUUUUUAUCAUUUCUGCAAGUAAAAGCAUUUCUGGAAGCCAUCACCAUUCAGAAGUUUCAGCCCCAUACAGAUGAAUUUUAAUAACAAAUGAACAAAGUAAGUCCUGAAGACUACAACCCAUUUUAUAAAUAUAAUACAAUACAAUAUAACACAAUACAAUAAUAAAUACAAUAUGAUUUUUAUAAACUUUUUAUAAUCUUUUGAACAUAAAUAUUAAGUAAGCCCUGAAGACAUCAACCUAUUUCAUAAACAGGACUGAAAUGCAUAAAUCAAUGGUAUUUAAAAUAUACUUAACAUCUGUAUUGUACCAAGGUAUUGAUGGUCAUAAAACUAUGCAAAGUAUAGGGUUCCAGAUGGUAGUUACCCAUUGGGUAGCAGGCUCAGGUGUGAAGGGGUUUUACACAGGAAUAUAUGUAGUCUCCCACUUUAUCUCUGGGGGACACAUUUUAAGGCCCCUAGUAGAUGCCUGAGAAGUCAAAGCAUGGAAUCCACUGUAUUAUUAAAGCUAGCUUGGUAACCACGAUGUACUGCAAUAGACUAUUCAAAACCUACAGCUGAUUUUCAGACUUCUUCACUGGACCCUUUUGAGCCAUGGUCACCUGUGGGAAAAUGAGAUCAUGCAAAGGAAGUCCACAGACCCUGAGGUAACUGUUGUAAUACAAGAUUCUGUUUACAUCUUGGAAUGGUGGCUCCUAGUUUCUUCCCACAUCACUGAAAAUUUGGCAUAAGUAGGCAGUUCAUGUUUUUGUUGUUGUUUUGUUUCUUUCACAUUAACAGAGCAAAGAAAGAAUCUGAUUACACAAGAGACUGACCUUCAAAGACAUGUUGGCCAGAGCAUUGCUUAGGAAGCGAGCUCAAGGUUUCCAUGGGCCUGCCCAGUUGGCCCAAAUCCAGUGUCUGACCAGGCCGGAGAUAAGGGGGAUAGGAGUGAUGGUAGCAAGUACCCCUGUGAGGUGAGCAGUCACAGAACACUGUCCUGGUUAGAUCCCUGCGGUUACCUGUAGCCUGACAGCCCUCUGCUCUCUGCUGUACCCUGAGGAGUAAGCCCAGAGUGCUAACUGUCCAGCAGCAGCGCAGAUCAUGCUCCCCUCCACAGGUCCAUUCUUGAUGUUGUUAGCCUCUGGUACCAACACCCGAGGGGUUGCUUUAGGGUGACCGUAUGACCAAGGGUUUGAGCGAUUCUCAAAGCUCAGAGUAUGCAGAGCUGAACAUGAUAUGGAUGCAAAAUCUGAAUUAGAGAAAGUUAAAUAAAGUUUUCUCACUUCAAAGGAUAUUUGUGUUACAGUGAAAGACUCAAUGGGUAGCCUUUAAAAAUAGGGUUGCUACCAUUCAGUAAGGUUUGGUUGAAAGCGUUUUCUGUUUGUUUGUUGUUUGUUUUAGAGAGAGAGAAAAAGAGAGGGGAGGGAUAGAGAGAGAGAGAGAGAGAGAGAGAGAGAGAGAGAGAGAACACUUGUAGCAUCAAACAGUAGUUCCUAAACAUUCCUGGAUGGUCUGACGUUGUGGCCCCACCAGGCCAAACUGUCCCUAGUUCACUAGAUGCUAAGACCGGGUCUGAUCCAUUCUUAUCCUACUAUGAGCAGUAAAGAUACUUUUUGAGCCUUAGCUUUACUGUCUGAUCUGUGGGAUGAUAUUGUGUCUGUGUAGUGGCUUUAAUACUUACUAAUAUUAGAAUGUACAACUUAUCUCUUAUUUUCUCAGAAACUCAGAUUGUAAAGUACCCAUUUGAAUGCUGGUCAAAAUGUGAGCAAAUGCCAUUUGCACACAUGCAUAAUCAUUAGAAUGUACCAUUAAUCAGCAGCCUGCACCGGAAGGCCAGCGCAUGGCCCUGCCCUUAGCUCUGUUCAUGCUUGUGUGUAUUUAUGGUGCUGCUUCAGUAUCUGCCAAUUAGGAAGAAAGAACACCUGCUGUAGGUGUCCCCUGAGCUGGCCAUUGUAGGAAGCAGGACAGAAGCACAACGUGGCCCCACUGUCGUGGAGCUCAGUGUGGUUUGUGAGAUGUGGCUUUCAUGUGAAUCAUUUGCACCAAAGCAGCACCAUUUAAAGAAAAUAACAUACAGAAAAUAUGCACAUAAAGAGCAGAGAAAGAGGAAGCUCGGCAUGGCAGCGUGUGGCUCAGUAGCAUGUAUGGAGGACGUGUCAAAAAUAUGCUUCUUAGGGGAGGCUUUAAUGAGGACUAAAGCACUGAGCGACGGUAAUGCUCAGCCCGAGAACAAUGGCAGGAGGACUUCAGCAGUUUUUAUUGUGUCUUCCUAAGAAAAUUACUUGGAAGCACAAUAUUCAUUUUUGAAGAGGGAAAGACUAAGUGUAAGGAAAGAAAUUUCUCCUAAAUACUAUUAUAAAGUUUGAGCAUUUCUAUUAUGAUUUUAUGACCUCCCAUCUGUGGUAGAUGCUUUAUUGAGAUUAUUGGGAUGUUACCAUCAAGCUGUGACAACGAUGCUUUAAAGGUCACACACAAAACACAAUUAAAUUUUCCAAGUGGAAUAGGAAUAUGCAUUGUGAAAGGCAAAUACUUUGAAGUAGUUUUUUUUUUCCCCGAGUGGGCCAUUUCACGAUGACAUUUUGAGGUGCUUAAAUAAAUCACAAUGUUGUUUUUCUUCUUGAUUGCAAUUUUCCCUUAUCUAUUUGUAUAGCUUAAAAAUAGAAACUGGCAUACUCAAGUCUCAAUGUUAUUGAGCCUAUUAGUUAAUAUAAACUUUAUCCGAAACUCAACAAUAGAUUUCAUUGUAACCGUGGAAACUUAUUGUGGUUCUUUCGCUCUUAUACAAGUGUGAGGAUGUCUGGUUGAUAGAGACUGAGUUAUUCAUACUUUGGCUUGUUACAAGCUGGAUAAUCCGACAUUUCCACAGACUUCUCAUCAGCAUAUUCAGUAGGAGAACCCUUUAUUUUCAAAACCUGUUAUUCUGUUUUAUUUGCCUUUUUUUCCUUUGUCAUUCAUGAAUGUAAUGAGUGAUUGUUUCACAAUUACUAAAACAAAUUUAGUUUCUCCAGUCGUUUGUGCCUCAGUGUCUUUAUCUGAAAAAUGAGGAUGAUCUUGGGAUAGGUGAAAGUUUGUGGAAACAUUAAGAACAACAGAUGAUGUAAAAUGUUGGAAACUGAGCCUGAUAAGAUAGGCCACCCAGUAAUGCACUUGCCUCACAAGUGUGAAGACCUGAAUUCUAUCCCUAGCAUACAUGGGAAAAGUUAAGUGUGGUGGUCUGUGUUUAUUAUCCCAGUGCUGGAGUGGAAGUGGGAGGAUUUCUUAGUCUUGCUAGCCAGUUACCCUGCCUACUUAGUAAGCUUAGGUGAGUGAGAGAGACCCUGCUUUAAAAAUACAGGGGCUCAUCUUCUGAGGAAUGACAACAGGGUUGGUGUCUGUCUUCCAUAAGCAGGUACAUAUGUACGUCUGCCCACCCCUCAACAAAACCUUUGGGAAGUAGUUCUUCCCAUCUUACCUUAUAAGUAAAAUAUAACUUACUACAAAUCUGCAACAAUACAACAAUAAAGAUAAAAGUAUGCCCUGGAAAAUCAUCUUUCUGAAGUUAGAGGUUCUAUAUAUAAAUGAGUGAGACACUGUUCACAUCCCAUGAAUGCAACCUGGAAAUGUACUAUUCUGGCCUCAAGUCAGGCAUAAAGGCCGUGCAUGUGCAUACACAGGUACAUGUACACUUCACAGUGUGCACAUGUGCACUUCACAGUGUAUACUUCACAGUGUGCACUUCACAUGUGCAUACACAGGCACAUGUGCACUUCACAGUGUGUACUUCACAUGUGCAUGCACAGGUACACUUCACAGUGUGCAUUUCACAUGUGCAUGCACAGGUACACUUCACAGUGUGCACUUCACGUGUGCAUGCACAGUACACUUCACAGUGUGCAUUUCACAUGUGCAUGCACAGGUACACUUCACAGUGUGCACUUCACAUGUGCAUAUACAGGUACAUGUGCACUUCACAGUGUGCAUUUCACAUGUGCAUGCACAGGUACAUGUGCACUUCACAGUGUGCAUUUCACAUGUGCAUGCACAGGCACAUGCGCACUUCACAGUGUGCAUUUCACAUGUGCAUGCACAGGCACAUGUGCACUUCACAGUGUGCAUUUCACAUGUGCAUGCACAGGCACAUGUGCUCUUCACAGUGUGCACUUCACAUGUGCAUACACAGGCACAUGUGCACUUCACAGUGUGCACUUCACAUGUACAUACACAGGCACAUGUGCACUUCACAGGGGUUACAUACUUACAAGUGAUCACAUGCUGGUGUUUUCUGAUUUGUGGUGUUGACUUAUAAAUGCCACUGUGUAAUUAAAAAGGAAUUAUUAGCAGCUUAACGACUUGGAUGCCAUGAGGAAGGUGAUAGAAACAUGAGAACCAAGAGUGAAGACAUACAUCCCAUUCAAAAAGACUCAGUGUUUUGUUUUUUGUUUUUGGUGGUGUGUGUGGAGGCCAGAGGUCAAUCUCAGGUGACUUUCUCUAUUGAUCUUCACUCUAAAAACAUUUAUUUAUGUCUUCAUUUGUUUGUUUGUUCACUUAUUUGUUUUUGGAACAGCAUCUCUCACUGAACCUAGAGUUCAUGUACUAGGCUAGGCUGUCCAGCGGUAAGGCCCUGGGUUCUUCUGUGUUCUGAUGACAUCUGGCUCCUUACCUGGUUGCUGGGCAUCUCAGUUCAGGUGCUCAGGCUUUUGCAGCAAGCCCUACUCACUGAGCCCUAUCCCCAGGCCCCUUAACCAUUUGUUUUUAAGUUCUAUGAUAACUGUUAAGAUACAGUGUUCCAAUUUUCUGAAUUCAUACCGGAUGCCCACUUGUAUAACCCCUGUGAAGUGUACAUGUACCUGUGUAUGCGCAUGCCUGGCCUUUGUUUCUGACUUGAGACUACAGUAGUACAUUUCCAGGUUGCAAUCAAGGGAUAUGAAUGGUGUCUCACUCAUUUAUACAUAGAAUUUCUAACUUCAGAAAGAUAAUUUUCCAGUGUACAUCUUUAUUGUUGUAUUAUUACAGAUUUGUGUGUAAAUUACAUUUUUUCUAUGUGGGUUAUCAUUUUCUUGUCCAAAUUUCUAAAUGGUUUAGAGGGAAAAAAAAUACACAGUUGGGAUUCAAGAACUGAAGGAGCUUCUGGGGAGCAUGGGCUCUGAUGUGGGCCUUCCCCAGCAGCCUUUGUGGCUUUGGGAGGCCUCAGGUUUCUCUUUAAAGAAGAUUUAUCCAACCCUGGGCUCCUUGAUAAACAAGGAAUUAAUUGGCUCCCAGGUAAGCCAGAAUUGAAAGCAUCAUUAUUAAUGGAGUCUGUUGACUUUGUUUAUUACAUGAUGUAGUCUUGUAGUGUGCUCACGGGCUUUGGUUCUGUUUGUUUGUUGUUUUUUUGUUUUGUGGGAGAUGGUAUGUAAGAAGAGUCAAUACAAAAGGCCCUCAUUGGAAAGUGUUUAAAAUUAUGAAGUGCUUCCAAACUGGUUUUGAAAGCUUCUCUGGGCUGAGAGCCAGUUGAUUGUUGUCAGUGUUCUUAUGUGACCGAGGUCAAGUGCUCAGAGCCUGAGCAACCGCAUUGGUUAAUGGCCCAGCCCUGUGCAGUGCUACAAUAUGAGAUCCUUUAAAAUGCUGCUGUGAUUGGAAUUUUAACAGAUGUGCUUCGAUUGGGCAAGAAUGUAAAAGCUAUUUUGGAGUAUGUUCAAAAGCACAUGGUUUCAAACAUUGUAACUUGUUAAUUUUCUCCCCUGUAAUGAAUGUAAUAAGACUGGGGUUUGUAUUAAGUUAAUGAAAAUAUUCAAAUGAGACUAGAAGAAAGGCAUUGUCUGUUUUGAGAGAGAUUUAGAGAAAAAAAGUAUACACUAGGGUUUCCAGAACUGAACGAGCUUCCAGGGAGCAUGUGGUCCUUCCCAGCAGCCUUUGUGGCUUUGGGAAGCCUCGGGUUUCUCAUUGAAGAAGAUUUAUCCAACCCUGGGCUCAUCCAACUUCCUUAUUCCUAAAAGUGUUUUUAGUACUGCAGUACAUUAAAGAAAUAAGCAUAGCAUAUUGAUUGGGGAACUCUAAGGAACUCUGCUAUUAAUCGGAGUUGAGGUAGGAGGGGCAGGGUAGAAUAGGGGCUAAAACUCGGCCCCAUAGUGUCGCAGCCUUGUCAUAGCACAGAUUUUACACAGUGGAAAAGAGGGCAGCCUGCUGCUCAGGUUUGGACACCAGUUUUACUCUCUGCAGCAGACAGAGUGUCAGAAAGUUUGAGUUUAUGCAGCAGCAUCUGCAGCGUCAUCCGUGUGUGUGCUCCAUGGCCUCCAUAGUCUGUUCUUCCUCAUCUCAUACUGGGCUGUUUCUCUUUUCUCCUGCCCUUUUCAGCCUUUGAGUUCACGCCACGCUGGGGUGGUAUGCCCACAGGUAGAUGUUGAGUAGGAGUGGCUUGUGUGUGUGUAAUGGACUUGCUUCUGCCGCCUUGCCGACCUGGAGCAGAGGCUAGGGAAACAUCAACAGCAGCUCUGGAGAGGGCUUGACACCGGCCCUUUGCAAUUUAUCUUAUUACCUCAGUAGAGUUCUGUUGCCUUUCAUUUUCUCAACAAACUCUAGAAACAAGCUAGUCGGGUAGUUAAUCCAAAUGAUUUCUGUUCUCAUUUAAAAGCUGAUGCAUUGAAAUGUGAACUAAGUCAAUUACUGUCACAGUGAGUUUCCCUGGACAUGGAAUUUGGAUGUGUGUAUUUCAUCAGACUCUUGCCUGUGAAGAUUACCAGUCUAUAUCUGUAUAACACUUUUCAUAUACUACAGAGCCCUAGAUCUGUCCUUAUAUAGUGCUGGCCUUUCGGUCUGGAGUAUUCUCCUAAGUCCAUUGUAUUGAAGGCUUGGUGCUAUGGGACCUGGUGGAAUCACUAGGGGUUGGGGUAGUGGACAAAAGUUAGACCAUUGGAGACAUAAUCUUAAAAAAGAUAUUUGGAUCUCAGCUGCUUCUUGGCUGCCAUGGGAUGAUUGCUAUGCUCUACCACCUACCUAUGGCCUCAUGGAAGAACCAACCAGACCAAUCAACCAAUCCACCUGACUGGAACCUUCAAAACUGUGAGCCAAAGGAAACCUUGUGUUCCUAAGUCAGAUCACCUCAGGUGUUCACCAUGCCACCAGAGAGUAGCAAGUACAUCAGCACCCGUGCUCUGCAUUUGUAUCUGAGGAGACCUGGCUGGAUUCCCCUUUCCAUUUCUGCUCUGCUUCCUUGGUACUUUAUUGCCAAGUUCAUACUCUCUAGACUCCGGCAGACAUGUUCAUAUCUUAGCUCUCUUCCCACAUUGGUUUCAGUGCAUUCAUCAACCUGAGAGAUUGUUUUUUAACUCACGGAGAUAUACUUGAGAGUGUUAAGCAUCCAGCCAGGGCACUACACAGGGAUAAGCCAAUAUCCUAGUGUUUGCAUGCUUGAGAAGAGAAGAUAGUUGGGGUGGGAGGGGGGUGGUCAUUAAUCUCUGAUUAUUCAUCACAAGUUGUUUGAAUUAUUGACAGUCUACUCAACACAUAUACUGACAUUACAUAGACAUACACACAUAUGUGUAUGUAAGCACAAAAAUGAAACUAUAAAGUUAAUUGAUGAAUCACGGAGUUUUUGACGCUGUGAAAUAAACAGGAACGGUACAUUUAUCAAAACAAUGCAUUCACAUAAAGCAGGAACUUUCCUAUUCUAGUUUGUCCUUCUAUGUGGCUCAGACUGAGUGAACUCCAGAGCAAGUGGGCCACAGAGUAGAGGUUGCCAAAGGAUCCAUGAUUGGAGAAGAGGACGAGGUCAUGCUUUCAUGCUGAGUCAUGUUCCCUGCCUGUACUGUGCGGGGACACAGGCAAGGGAUGCUGGUGUGCAGUAAUGAUGCGUGGGGGCAGUGCGGUCCUUAGCUGGAGUCUUGCUUCCUUCUCAGUUCACAAGCCCCUCCCCACUUCCUACACAGCAGGAUUCCUGGGCGUUAUGUGAGCAGUUCCAGAGCCCACAACAGGAAACUUCUUUUUCUUUUUUUGAUUUUUGGUACUGGGCAUGGAACUUAAUGCGUGUGCUUUCUAGUCAAGCAGUCUAUGCCUGUGCUAUCGACCUCAGCCCUCUUUUUACCUUUCAUUUUAAGACAUGGCCUCCUUAAGUUGCUCAGGCUGGCUUUGAACUCUCUUUGUAGUCAAGGUCGACCUUAAACUUGCCAUCCCCCUGCCUCAAUGUCCUGGAGUAGCUGGGAGGACGGGCCAGCCCCACCAGACGUGGUUCAGCAAGACUUUUGUAAGAAUAUAGUAUUUGCUGAUAGGCACCAUCCAUCCUGAAUUUGUUAGUGGCUGAUGGAUAGCAAAGCUUGUAGGAGCCCUCUUCUACAGGGCAAGGCAUUAUGAAAUUUUAUUUCUUUUGAGCAAUGUACUUUGUGAACAAAUCUUUGGAUAACUGAUCAGCACCUUACAUCUGCAAUAAAGAUAUCUGAGCCAAAGAGUAAAUAAAUGAAGGAAAAAUAAAUAUACUAACAGUUUACUCAUAUCCAGAAAUUAGUUAUCUCAGGGGGUGAUAUUGAGUAACUCGCCAUCAUUUAAUAAAUUAGAUAUUUUUCUUUAGGAAAUGAACCUUUUGUUAGUGAGCUACCCAGUAGUUUAUUCUGAUCACCCAGGCUGGCUACAGGAAAUUAGACAUUAAUUUAUUUCAUUUAAUGGUUAUGGUAUUUAAUUGCCUGUUAUGUCAGGCACUGUUGUAGGCAUCAGCUACACAAGGACCAAUGAGAAGAUUUCAUUCUCAGUGGGUUCCCAGGCUUGAGGCAGGGAGAACCAUGAAAGCAAAACUUCCAGCGACUUACUGUGUGCUUCAUAGACCAGACCUUAUGCGAGACUCUGUCAAAAGAGGUAGAUAGACCCUCCCUGUCAGCACUCUGAAGUGUCAGAAGAAUGAGUUAGGCAGGACUGAGCAGACAACUAGAUGCCAGAAAGAACUGAGUACAGGCUAGUGUUGUGGAAUGACCUAGGGAAAACUAUUGUGUACAUUUUAACUUUGUUUCAAACUAAUUUACUUUAUGUCUACAAUGUUGCUUUUUAUUUAUUUCACAUUAUUGUAAAAUGACCUUGUCUUUAAUUAUAAAGAUUGACACAUUGGGUUUUUUUAAAUUAUACUGUGAUGGUUACCUUAAAAAUGUUUUAUUUAUUUUAUUUAUACCACGGUGUACCUGUAUAUGUAUGCGUAUAUAUGUGUGAGUGUGUAUAUAUAUACACACACAAUGUGCAUACCUAAUUCCUUUAUAGGUCAUAAGAGGUCCCCUAGAACUGGGGUUAGAGAUGGCUGUGGGCUGAUGUAUGAGUGUUGAAAAUUGAACCUACAUCGUCUGCAAGCUCAGCAAGUGAUCUUAACUGCUGAGCUCUCUCUCCAGCCCAGCUGUUAUUUCUAAAGGAAAUUAUGAUCCGAAUUCUGCAAGACAAAUGGCUGGAAAAUAAUAUUUUUGAGUAUCUAAUCUUUCUUGUUCUGCAAGAAGGCUAUAAAGGAUUACUCUUUGUUUCUUACAUGUUGAUCAUACUUUUUAGGUACCCAUUUGCAUAAACUUACUGAUUUGACCUGGCCUCCAAUGAACUAUUAUCUUUCAAUGUGUAAGGCAAUAGUAUAGGGUCCUCUGUUUAUGAGCUGUUGUCUUUAAUACGUAUAUUUUAAUUUAUAAAAUAUGUAUAUUUUAAUUCAAGUUUUUAAAAAUUUGCAGGCUCUUGUAUUCAGUCAUGUUCAAUAAUAAUAUAUCAUAAAAUGGCCAUGUUAUUUAUUUACCAAAGGCAUGCAAUAUUUAUUUAGCAGUUUGCAGUUUUAGGAUAAUUGCGCAAUGCAGUUCCCCUUGCAUUUCAAAGAUCUAACUAGUUAAUUAGCUUAAGUGGUUCUGUCAAGUCUAUUGACAGUUGGCGGUCUAUAGUGCUGGCCUGUCAUGGGGCUAAUAUAAAACCCUUAAGAAUGGCUCUGCUGUGGUUAGCUUCCCCCUCAGCUUGAGAUAGGAGUUGGCUUUCUUUCUCAUGACAUUAAAACAAAAUCAGUUAAUAUAUACUGACCCUUUUGCUUCUGAAUACUGUGAUCCUUCCUGCUCAGUUUCAUGAUGGUGUUCUUCACCAAGACUGCACACAUCUUCAUACUGUUAAACAUCACUCUCCACUCCACUCCCACAUGAUGUUCUGCUUUAAGAUGCUGUUAUGUUUGGGUUUGGGGAUGCUCUUCAAGGCCCCUGGAGAGUCUGCAAGGAAAUGGCACCUGAUUGUAUAUAUGUCUCUGCUCUUUUGUCUGUGGCUUGUUGCUCAUGCAGUCAGGAGGUCUCGAUCUGCUAUGCCUCCACUACCUGGUCGGUGGCUGUAUGAGGAAGUUUGGAGAAUUGGCACCCUGUUUCUGUUAACCUUGAUCCAAGUUCAACACUUAACCCAAAUUGUAUAUUUAACACUUUAUUUGCCUGCAAAAUCUAUUCUUCAGGCAGGACAGGGGUAGAGCAAGUGGAAA